rnacentral:piRNA from 1 species
UGAGCUCUGCUCAAUUGGGGCCUAGG